AAGGGAGACCUAAUUCCGGUAGGAGACGAAAAAAAAGUAGUCCCUACCAAGAAUCAAUCCCAAAAGGUCGAAGCGAGGCAAGAUUGGCUUUCAAACUAGGUUCUGGGUUCAAACAAGACCUGAAUCAGGAACAAGGGCUAUUAGCUCAGGUGGUUAGAGCGCACCCCUGAUAAGGGUGAGGCCCCUGGUUCGAGUCCAGGAUGGCCCACCUGCACAGGUGGCAAAAACAAAGAAGCGAGGAAUCAGCACCUUAUCUUACUCAUAUAGUAAGAGAGAAUGCUGGCUCUGAGUAAAGAGUCCAGAGGAACCUUGAAAACUGCAUAGAGCUAGGUGAAAAAGCCAAAAAAGAAGACCGCAA
rnacentral:tRNA from 1 species